rnacentral:tRNA from 1 species
GGAGAGAUGGCCGAGUUGGUCGAAGGCGGGCGACUCGAAAUCGUCUAGGCGGUGAUGAGCCGUCUCGUGGGUUCAAAUCCCACUCUCUCCGCCA